CAAAAGGUUUUUCUUAAAACCAGCUAUGUGAAACCCUAAAUUUUUGG
rfam:Cucumis sativus cultivar 9930 Scaffold000113, whole genome shotgun sequence.